rnacentral:lncRNA from 1 species
AAGCAGGUGCUUUUCAGCCACAGCAGAAAGCUGGCACUUGGAGAGCUGAAGGGUUUGGUCCCCAGCACAGAACCUGGACAGCUCCUCUUACUCUGUUUUUGGCCUCCCAUCAUUAAUACUUCUGCAGCCCCUCCCUCCAGCUGCUUCUAGCUUGUGUUGAUCUCUCUGGAGAGCAGAUGGACAUUUGCAUUUCCUGCACCAACUUGACCUUGGGAUCUAUUUAUCAAGUGGC